rnacentral:lncRNA from 1 species
GUAGGGUUGUUGAGAUAAUUACAUGAGAUGGCAUAUGAAGGGCGGCUUAGUUCAAUACCUGGCAUGUAGUAGGUGUUCAGUGGGCGUAGUUACCGGAUUGAUUCAGAUAGUCUGAACGCCAGUGUCUCUUGAAAGAAAUAAACUGGCCGGGCGUGGUGACUGUAAUCCCAGCACUUUGGGAGGCCGAGGUGGGCGAAUCACUUGGGGUCAGGAGUUUGAGACCAGCCUGGCCAGCGUGGUGAAACCCCGUUUCUACUAAAAAAAAAAAAAAAAAUACAAAAAUUAGCCGGGCAUGGGGGCGGGCGCCUGCAAUCCCAGCUGCUUGGGUGGCUGGGCGGGCUCCUGCAAUCCCAGCUACUCGGGAGGCUGAGGCAGGAGAAUCGCUUGAACCCCGGGGUCGGGGGCGGAGGCGGAGGUUGCAGUGGGCCGAGAUCACGCCAUUUUCUGGGCGAGAGAGCGAGACUCCGUCUCAAAAAAAAAAAAAAAAACCAUGAAAGAAAUAAGCUCAGUGAAGGCGGGCAUUCUGCCUGGCUAACGCAGGUCGCUCCUUGCCGUGCCUGGAACAUUACUGGUGUUGAAAGCAGCAGGGGCCUAGAAGACAUUAAACCGAUACCACAGAAAUACAAAGGAUCAUUAGAGACUAUUAUGAACAACUAUAUGCCAACAAAUUGGAAACCAAAUGGAAAUGGAUAAAUUCCUGAACAGAUACAACUUACCAAAAUUGGACCAAGAAGAAAUAGAAAACCUGAAAAGACCAACUAUGAGUAAUGAGAUUAAAUCAGUAAUAUAGAGUCUCCCAUCAAAGAAAAGUCCAGGCCCUGAUGGCUUCACUGCUGAAUUCUACUGAACAGUUAAAGAAGAACUCAUACCAGUUCUCAAACUCAUCCUGUGAGGGCAGCAUUACCCUGAUACCAAAACUAGAUAUGGACACAAGAAAAAAAAUCUAUAGGCCAGUAUCCCUGAUGAACAUAGAUGCAAGAAUCCUCAACAAGACCAGGUGUGGUGGUUCAUGCCUGUAAUCCCAGCACUUUGGGAGGCCAAGGCAGGUGGAUCACCUGAGGUCAGGAAUUUGAGACCAGCCUGGCCAACAUGGCAAAACCCUGUCUGUACUAAAAAUACAAAAAUUAGCCGGGCAAGGUGGCGUGUGCCUGUAAUCCUAGCUACUUGGGAGGCUGAGGCAGGAGAAUUGCUUGAACCUGGAGGGAGGAGGGGCAGAAGUUGCAGCGAGCUCAGAUCGUCCCACUGCACUCCAGCCUGGGUGACAGAGUGAGACUCCAUCUCAAAAUAAGUAAAUAAAUAAAGAGACUCAACUAGCAUAAAUGAAUUGCAAGUGUUUUAUAGUAUAUAAUGAGCACAACAAAAGUAUCAAUAUAUUACAUGGAAAUACAUUUUUCAAAGCUGGAUCUUUAGCUUCCAAGGAUUAAGGAGAAUUUUGUUACUGAGUUGGUUCUUAAUUUAGGCUCUGCACCUGAGACCUAGAGUCCCCUGGGAUUUGGGUCCGAGGACUGGCAUUACCUUUGUAGGUGGCUCUUGGCAACUAGCACUGUCUAAGAUCUUAACAUUUGCAAAUGAAGCCUUAAAACAUGUCCCAAAAGUAUGGAAAGUGGGCCGAUUUCAACACAACCAUUACCUGUUCCUGGUAGCUGACCAACUAGGAGAUUUCAGAGGUCAAGUGGGACAGAGCAGGGUAGGGAAUUUUUUUUUAAGCUUUAUUAUAAAACAGGUAACUUUGUCCCUAUCUUAAGAAUUUGGAACUGAGGCUAUAGGUCACUCAAUGAUCAAAUAAUGAAAGGUCUGCUUCAACUGGACUACUUAAUAUUUCACAUUUACCUUUUUGACUAGAAAUAACUGAUGAAAGUUCACUUAGUUUGGUGGGAAAUAAGAGAUACAAAGAUAUCUUCUCCAGGAUGAGACUCCCAAAAGCAAAUGUUCUCUGAGUACCUCUGUCGCUCAAAUUUAAGCCCUUUGGAGUUCCUUUGAGCAUGGUUCUGCCCUCAUAUUUCUGAUCACUCCCUCUAGACUCCUACUCAACUUCUC